rnacentral:rRNA from 1 species
CGAAGCUGGAAUCGCUAGUAAUCGCGGAUCAGCACGCCGCGGUGAAUACGUUCCCGGGCCUUGUACACACCGCCCGUCACACCAUGAGAGUCGGAAAUGCCCGAAGCCGGUGACCCAACCAAAAGGAGGGAGCCGUCGAAGGCAGGUCUGAUAACUGGGGUGAAGUCGUAACAAGGUACC